CAGGUGAAGAGCUUUCAAAAAAGCAGGCUGCUCAAGAAGGACAGAUUAGGAAAUUAAGGGCUCAGAUCAGAGAGUUUGAAGAAGAGAAGAAAGGGUUGAUUACUAAACUUCAGG